rnacentral:rRNA from 1 species
CCUACGGGCGGCAGCAGUGGGGAAUAUUGCACAAUGGGGGAAACCCUGAUGCAGCGACGCCGCGUGAGGGAAGAAGUUUUUCGGUAUGUAAAGCUCUUUUAGUAGGGAAGAAAAUGACGGUACCUGACUAAGAAGCCCCGGCUAACUACGUGCCAGCAGCCGCGGUAAUACGCAGGGUGCAAGCGUUAUCCGGAUUCACUGGGCGUAAAGGGAGCGUAGGCGGCAGCGCAAGUCUGAAGUGAAAUCCUAUGGCUUAACCCUGGAACUGCAUUGGAAACUGUGAGUCUGGAGUGCAGGAGAGGUAGGCGGAAUGCCUGGUGUAGCGGUGAAAUGCGUAGAGAUCAGGAGGAACACCAGUGGCGAAGGCGGCUUACUGGACUGUAACUGACGCUGAGGCUCGAAAGCGUGGGGAGCAAACAGGAUUAGAUACCCUGGUAGUC